AAGGAAAGAGCCCUCAGACGUUUAGAAAACAGCUGUGGUGCUAUUAGAUGAGGAAACCCAAAGGAGAAGAGGUCCCAGUCAGAGUGGCAUUCAGAAUUUACUUCAGAGAGAGAGCAGGUCUGGACCCGGCAAGGUCUUGGGUGCGGCCAUGAGAGACGCGACUGAACUGAUGGAGGGUAGAAUCGUGUUGGAGAUAAGGGUGGUCAAGAACAAGAGGGGAAAUGUAUGGAUGGCUGGUUCCCUUGGAUCUUGAAGGAAGGCACAGACUCAGAAGAGAGAUUUAAUCAUGAAGCUUGGUGGUCGUUUUAAUGUAGCUGCUCUUAGAAGGCUUUUCUGUGGACUAUGGAAACUCCAUCAUGAGAAGCAAGAUAAUCCUUACAAAACAUCCAUUCAUUCUACAAGUGAAAAUUUCAGGAAUACUCGACACUGGCCUUGGCAAGACUAAUGGACCGAGAUUGAGUGAUGGAUUUGUGUGUGUUGUGGCUGACGUGUGUUUUGGUGUUUUGUAUGCUAGUUUAAGAAUAUUUUAGCAUUAGAAGAUUUAUGACAUUUUAAUUAAUGAAUACGAUGAAGGCUUAAACUUGUAGAUGAAAUUAUAAGAUACAAUAUUUUUGUAGCUUAUUUUUGAGCACAAACUUGAUUGUUUUUGUUGCUUUAAGAAAGGACCUGCUGAUAAUGUUAGCUUUCUUUUCUGUUUCAGUGUGACCACUUUAACUGAUAUGUAAGCCAUUACUUUUUAAGGGAAAUAAAAUGAGGCAAUACAGCCUAGUGAAAAGGACACACAGUAUCAGAUUCUUAAUUGCUAAAUUAAAUUUGGGCUCUUACUUGAUUUCUGCUAUGAACUGGCUGCACGACUUUGAAUAAGUUAUUAAGUUCCCCUUUAAAAAAUAUAAAAUUGGAAUGAGAAAUAUGUGAUAGUGAAAAAUAUUUGUGAAAGUGUUUUAAAGUCCCAUGAAGAAAGCACAAUCAGAAACCACAGUUGGGUUGGCUAUUUCACUGAAAAUAAUCUGAUCUUGUCAGUAAACCUAAAUUUUAGUAAGAUUGGUUUAUUUUUUUUAAGCCAUUUAAUUUCAGAUGCUUAGGAACUCUUCAAUUUGUUAAUGGAAAGAAACGCUGUAUACACCGGAUGGCUA
rnacentral:lncRNA from 1 species